CUGCACUGAUACCUGCUGCUUCAGAAAGUAAAGCACAAAAGGAUCUUACUCCUGUUGGAAGAGAUGCUUUGUCACGAAUUAGAGGUCGAGAUUUUGACUCAGCAUGUGGUCUUACUGAGGAUACUGGGGCCUUGGUUGUAUGGCAAGCACCACCCAUCUGUUCAUGUAAUUUCUUUUGUAUUAUCUUGGGCUGACAGUAGUACUUUCUAUGAUUGAAGAAAUGGAUUCCUGUUAAGGAGAAAUUGGUUGUCCUCAAGAAAAAUGCGGAACCUUAUGUACAGAAGGUAUCGACAAGAUCAGUGAAGUUUUAUGAACGGAGGGAGGAUUUUCUAUCUCCGCUGUUUAGCCUGGAGUCAAAGGAGGCAGAAGGAGAUGAAGACGAGUGAGAUUGAGAGGAUCAACGAAAUGCUGCUGUCUAGGAAAUGCUGCCUUUUUUAGAGAAAACUAGAUGAGUGUCAGUUUAUACGAAUCACCAAGUUGGCUUUGUUGUUGAGUGUCCUUAAUAAAGAUUUUUGCCCCUGUUUCUAAGACAGCGACAUUCUUAGAUAUAAAACACACUUUGUCACUGCACACUUUUAUUUCACUGUAGCACAGGGUAGAUUCAGUACUUAACUAUUUCAUGUUGUCAUGAUCAAAUGUGUCAAUGACAUUUGAUA